CGGACGGGUGAGUAACGCGUGAGAAUCUACCUUCAGGUUUGGGACAACCACUGGAAACGGUGGCUAAUACCGAAUGUGCCGAGAGGUGAAAGGCUUGCUGCCUGAAGAAGAGCUUGCGUCUGAUUAGCUAGUUGGUGGGGUAAGAGCCUACCAAGGCGACGAUCAGUAGCUGGUCUGAGAGGAUGAUCAGCCACACUGGGACUGAGACACGGCCCAGACUCCUACGGGAGGCAGCAGUGGGGAAUUUUCCGCAAUGGGCGAAAGCCUGACGGAGCAAUACCGCGUGAGGGAGGAAGGCUCUUGGGUUGUAAACCUCUUUUCUCAGGGAAGAAAAAAAUGACGGUACCUGAGGAAUAAGCAUCGGCUAACUCCGUGCCAGCAGCCGCGGUAAUACGGAGGAUGCAAGCGUUAUCCGGAAUGAUUGGGCGUAAAGGGUCCGCAGGUGGUAGUGUAAGUCUGCUGUUAAAGAGUCACGCUCAACGUGAUCAAAGCAGUGGAAACUACACAACUAGAGUACGGUAGGGGCAGAAGGAAUUCCUGGUGUAGCGGUGAAAUGCGUAGAUAUCAGGAAGAACACCGGUGGCGAAAGCGUUCUGCUAGACCUGUACUGACACUGAGGGACGAAAGCUAGGGGAGCGAAUGGGAUUAGAUACCCCAGUAGUC
rnacentral:rRNA from 1 species